rnacentral:pre_miRNA from 1 species
AACUUACUCCCUCCGUCUCAAAAUUCUUGUUUUAUGUUUGUAUAGAUAUGAAUGUAUCUAGUCAUGUAUUAGUAUUUAGAUACAUCUAUUUUUAGACAAACAUAAGACAAGAAUUUUGAGACAAAGGGAGUACAUG